rnacentral:lncRNA from 1 species
GGAAAGAUUUGAGGUCAAUAUAAACGAGCUUGCAUAGUAAAUUGACCGUCGCAGCCUCUCUCCUAUACCAUUCUUUCGCCUUCACAUUGCAGUACCCGAGACCCAACCCACCGCACCGACCUUCCUUGAUCACCCUAAACCCAACCCACAUCGUCUCGUGUUUUCUUCCUUGGAAUUAUAGAGAUAUCACAAGCACAAAAAUCUUCACCUCCCUGAGUUGUUGUUUUUCCAUUCCAAUGAAGAAGAAGGGAACCAAACGAAAGGAUGAAGCAGCCUCCACUGAGCGGCCGCCGCAGCAGCAGGAGAAUACAAAGCGCGCUAAGGUGUAAUAAUUUUGUUGAAAAUUUGCUGAUUUGUUAUUGAUGCAAUUUGGAAAUUUCAUUACAAUUUUGGAAGAUGGGGUCAAAAGUCCAAUAGUUUAUGGGAAGUACUGUUCAGUUUGGGAUCGGUUUUAUUUUGGCAGACCUGAGAAUAUGUUUGUUAUAGUUUUGAGUUAGCAAAGGUUUAUGGGAAUUUGUAAAGUUUGUAGGCCUUUUAAUAGAGCUGGUGUACUUCUAUGAGGUCGGUCUUUCUUUUUUUUGUUUUCUGUUUGUUGUUGUUUUGAUCUUUAAUUGCGUAUUUUCAUAUUGUAAUGUUUGUGCAAUUACGAUAUUGUAAUGAUUAGGU